GAUGAACGCUAGCGGCAGGCCUAACACAUGCAAGUCGAGGGGUAUAGUUCUUCGGAACUAGAGACCGGCGCACGGGUGCGUAACGCGUAUGCAAUCUACCUUUUACAGGGGAAUAGCCCAGAGAAAUUUGGAUUAAUGCCCCAUAGUGUUAUAGAAUCGCAUGGUUUUAUAACUAAAGUUCCAACGGUAAAAGAUGAGCAUGCGUCCCAUUAGUUAGUUGGUAAGGUAACGGCUUACCAAGACAAUGAUGGGUAGGGGUCCUGAGAGGGAGAUCCCCCACACUGGUACUGAGACACGGACCAGACUCCUACGGGAGGCAGCAGUGAGGAAUAUUGGACAAUGGGCGCAAGCCUGAUCCAGCCAUGCCGCGUGCAGGAAGACGGUCCUAUGGAUUGUAAACUGCUUUUGUACAGGAAGAAACACUCCCUCGUGAGGGAGCUUGACGGUACUGUAAGAAUAAGGAUCGGCUAACUCCAUG
rnacentral:rRNA from 1 species